UCCCGGAACUUGGUCAUUUAGAGGAAGUAAAAGUCGUAACAAGGUUUCCGUAGGUGAACCUGCGGAAGGAUCAUUACCGAGUGAGGGCCCUCUGGGUCCAACCUCCCACCCGUGUUUAUUUUACCUUGUUGCUUCGGCGGGCCCGCCUUUACUGGCCGCCGGGGGGCUCACGCCCCCGGGCCCGCGCCCGCCGAAGACCCCCUCGAACUCUGUCUGAAGAUUGAAGUCUGAGUGAAAAUAUAAAUUAUUUAAAACUUUCAACAACGGACCUCUUGGUUCCGGCAUCGAUGAAGAACGCAGCGAAAUGCGAUACGUAAUGUGAAUUGCAAAUUCAGUGAAUCAUCGAGUCUUUGAACGCACAUUGCGCCCCCUGGUAUUCCGGGGGGCAUGCCUGUCCGAGCGUCAUUGCUGCCCUCAAGCCCGGCUUGUGUGUUGGGCCCCGUCCUCCGAUUCCGGGGGACGGGCCCGAAAGGCAGCGGCGGCACCGCGUCCGGUCCUCGAGCGUAUGGGGCUUUGUCACCCGCUCUGUAGGCCCGGCCGGCGCUUGCCGAUCAACCCAAAUUUUUAUCCAGGUUGACCUCGGAUCAGGUAGGGAUACCCGCUGAACUUAAGCAUAUCAAUAAGCGGAGGA
rnacentral:rRNA from 1 species